rnacentral:rRNA from 1 species
UACGAAGGGGGCUAGCGUUGCUCGGAAUGACUGGGCGUAAAGGGCGCGUAGGCGGAUGGCACAGUCAGAAUGUGAAAUUCCUGGGCUUAACCUGGGGGCUGCAUUUGAUACGUGUGAUCUAGAGUGAGGAAGAGGGUUGUGGAAUUCCCAGUGUAGAGGUGAAAUUCGUAGAUAUUGGGAAGAACACCGGUGGCGAAGGCGGCUCUCUGGACCGAGACUGACGCUGAGGCGCGGAAAGCGUGGGGAGCAAACAGG